rnacentral:rRNA from 1 species
CCUACGGGUGGCAGCAGUGAGGAAUAUUGGUCAAUGGACGAGAGUCUGAACCAGCCAAGUAGCGUGAAGGAUGACUGCCCUAUGGGUUGUAAACUUCUUUUAUAUGGGAAUAAAAUUCAGUAUGUAUACUGUUUUGUAUGUACCAUAUGAAUAAGCAUCGGCUAACUCCGUGCCAGCAGCCGCGGUAAUACGGAGGAUCCGAGCGUUAUCCGGAUUUAUUGGGUUUAAAGGGUGCGUAGGCGGACGCUUAAGUCAGUCGGGAAAUUUUGCGGUCCAACCGUAAAAUUGCAGUUGAUAGUGGGUGUCUUGAGUGCAGGAGAGGGAUGCGGAAUGCGUGGUGUAGCGGUGAAAUGCAUAGAUAGCACGCAGAACUCCGAUUGCGAAGGCAGCAUACUGGACUGUAACUGACGCUGAUGCUCGAAAGUGUGGGUAUCAAACAGGAUUAGAUACCCCUGUAGUC